AUGUCAGUGCAAUCUGCUCGUACCCAGCUAGAGGCCUCUGCAAUCGUCGUUUGCACAUGGCAGUUGUGCGUUGCGUCGGAUAUAAUUAGUAGUGUUCUGUCGACCGUUCGUAAAUUCAUGUUACGAUUUUACAAUCGACGCCACGAAACUGAUCGAUCCCUUAUUUCGUUUAAGAUAAUAGAGAACCAGUAAAGUUCGGUGACGAUGCUGUCGCAGAGGUCUUGCUAGGUGUUGGUCGUUCGACCACCAGUCGCUUGCACGUGAAAAUCCUAGGAAACAUGGGAAAAACCACGUUUCCCCACUUUUCAUCAUAGGAAACAUCUUGACUCGAAGGUGUUUUAUACCACUUAACGGUCAAAUCGAAAUGCUUAGUUUCACGACAGUUCCUUAUGAUUAUAGCGAGUAGCCGCCUCGACCGAGGGAUGAAUUCCGGACUACGCAAAGAGUCACCGGACAAGUAGUAUCGAAAAUAUUUCAACUUAUAUUCUUAGCUGUCUCACGCUGUAUAUAAUAUUUCAUUAUAUAUAUAUAUAUAUCGGAGAUGGAAGGACACCGGAGCCUUUCCUUUGGAAUUUUGAGAAAACUCCUUAAUACCAUAGCCGUAAUUAAGCAAUUGUCGUCAUUCAAUCCGACUGUAUUUGUUCGAGAUUUAUGAUAGUGAGCUUGGGCUCGAGGCGACAACCAGUCGUCGAACGUAGCUGCGAUAAAGGGACGAACGUUUUGCUAACAAAGUCAUGGAGAAAUUCUAUAGCUCUCCUUAAAAGAAAUAGUUGUAGCGGUACUCGACAGUAAACAUUUCAACGGUUUCUGUCCCGUGGCUCGUUAUAUUCAGACCCUAUUCUUCGGGUAGGAUGAUUGCCAGAUGUCAAUGCAUCUCCACGGUAUAUGUUCAACUAGCCUGAGGACCCGUUAUAAAUCUUAAAUUUUAGUUAACUAAAGUCCUUCAAACAGACAAACGGUCUUUGUUUCAACUACGGGAAGAUAUGAGAAAUCUAUUUUUUCCACGAACGACGCUUUCUGCUAGCAACUUUCCCUCAAGGAAAAAUUUCCCUCACCAUCCGAACGAAGACUCUCGUAUGACUCUCGUUGUCGCGUUAUACUGCGAACGCGUCUCCUUGCUAAUUACGAUCAAACAAAUACAAUAGUUUGUAAGCAAUAUAUUAUAUUACAUUGUAUAAUUAAA
rnacentral:misc_RNA from 1 species